rnacentral:rRNA from 1 species
GAUGAACGCUAGCGGGAGGCCUAACACAUGCAAGCCGAGCGGUAUUGUUUCUUCGGAAAUGAGAGAGCGGCGUACGGGUGCGUAACACGUGUGCAACCUGCCUUUAUCUGGGGGAUAGCCUUUCGAAAGGAAGAUUAAUACUCCAUAAUAUAUUGAACGGCAUCGUUUAAUAUUGAAAGCUCCGGCGGAUAGAGAUGGGCACGCGCAAGAUUAGCUAGUUGGUGAGGUAACGGCUCACCAAGGCGAUGAUCUUUAGGGGCCUGAGAGGGUGAUCCCCCACACUGGUACUGAGACACGGACCAGACUCCUACGGGAGGCAGCAGUGAGGAAUAUUAGUCAAUGGGUGCAAGCCUGAACCAGCCAUCCCGCGUGAAGGACGACUGCCCUAUGGGUUGUAAACUUCUUUUGUAUAGGGAUAAACCUACCCUCGUGAGGGUAGCUGAAGGUACUAUACGAAUAAGCACCGGCUAACUCCGUGCCAGCCGCCGCGGUAAUAC